rnacentral:rRNA from 1 species
UACGAAGGGGGCGAGCGUUAUUCGGAAUCACUGGGCGUAAAGCGUGCGUAGGCGGUUUUGUAAGUUGGAAGUGAAAGCCCAGGGCUUAACCUUGGAAUUGCUUUCAAAACUACAAGACUCGGAUUCGGGAGAGGAUAGCGGAAUUGUCAGUGUAGCAGUGAAAUGCGUAGAUAUCAGGAGGAACACCGGUGGUGUAGACGGCUCUCUGGACCGUAACUGACGCUGAGGCACGAAAGCGUGGGUAGCAAACAGG